rnacentral:rRNA from 1 species
AGUGAACGCUGGCGGUAGGCCUAACAAAUGCAAGUCGAACGGCAGCACAGUAAGAGCUUGCUCUUACGGGUGGCGAGUGGCGGACGGGUGAGGAAUACAUCGGAAUCUACUUUUUCGUGGGGGGUAAGGUAGGGAAACUUCGGUUAAUACGGAAAAGGACUUACGGUUGCAACAAGGGGGUUUUGGACCUUGGGGGAUUGGAUGAGGCGGAUUUGGGAUAACCUGGUUGGGGGGGGAAAGGCCCACCAAGGCGAGGAUCCGUAGCUGGUCUGAGGGGAUGACCAGCCACACUGGAACUGAGACACGGUCCAGACUCCUAAGGGAGGCAGCAGUGGGGGAUAUUGGACAAUGGGCGCAAGCCUGAUCCAGCCAUACCGCGUGGGUGAAGAAGGCCUUCGGGUUGUAAAGCCCUUUUGUUGGGAAAGAAAAGCAGCAGGUUAAUACCCCGCUGUUCUGACGGUACCCAAAGAAUAAGCACCGGCUAACUUCGUG